UCGCCUCAUAGGUGGGGACAACGGUAGGGGAAACUCACGCUAAUACCGCAUACGCCCGUACGGGGAAAGCGGGGGAUCUUCGGACCUCGCGCUAUGAGAUGAGCCUGCGUUAGAUUAGCUAGUUGGUAGGGUAAAGGCCUACCAAGGCGACGAUCUAUAGCUGGUCUGAGAGGACGAUCAGCCACACUGGGACUGAGACACGGCCCAGACUCCUACGGGAGGCAGCAGUGGGGAAUAUUGGACAAUGGGCGCAAGCCUGAUCCAGCAAUACCGCGUGUGUGAAGAAGGCCUUAGGGUUGUAAAGCACUUUCAAUUGGGAGGAAAACCUGCCGGUCAAUACCCGGUAGCUUGACAUUACCUUUAGAAGAAGCACCGGCUAACUCCGUG
rnacentral:rRNA from 1 species